GGGGGCAUAGCUCAGUUGGGAGAGCGCCUAGCUUUGCAAGCUUGAGGUCGUCGGUUCGAUCCCGACUGGCUCCACCA
rnacentral:tRNA from 1 species